ACAUGAAGAUCAUUAAGUCCAAGUACUGUUCCACACUAACUGAUGAACAUUUGGAAGUGUGCUUGAGGCUGGCUGUCAGCAGCUGCUGUCCGGACUAUGCAUCCAUGGCUGAUUCACUUCAGUGCAAGUCAUCGGAGUAAACUCAGGCUACAUGUCCGUUACGUGUCUUCAUAUGGCUGGGCAAGGCGGUUUCCGGAGGACACUUACUGACUCUCACGAACCUGCAGCUGAUCUGUAAUUAUCUGCUCAGUCUAGGAUCUCCCUUGAUCUGCGAGCGUGCGCUUGCUGAUUCCCCCAUCAACGAGUGUUUCCUGUGUCUUCUUGCCUGUGCCUCCCAUCUGCUUGCUGCUGUGCCACUUGCCCAGCCUUGCUCCGCGUGCCUCCACGAGCCUCUCACCCCCUACGGAUCCACUGGACUAAUCCUCUACCUCGUUGACUGCUUCCAAGCUUCCCCAGGAACUCACCGACUCGCUGCCAGCCUUGCAAGGUCUCGGACCCUGGUCACUUGUUUCCCCUUUUGUUCAUUAAAACACCAAUUUUACUCCUUACCAACGGUCUCCUCUUCACUCUUGGGUCCUCAUCUGUAGCUAUGCUUUCAUAUUGACUUCUAUAUUGUAGCACUUAAGAGAUUUUUUUAUUUGAUGUAAAGUGCAUUUAUAAAUACAUUACUAUUAAAAUGAUCUAGAAUCUCCAUUGUCAGCCUAAGCAGUUGCUGUCGACCAUUUACUACAAUCCAUCAUUUAAGAAUUUGAGUGUAAUAAAGUAUUUGUAAGUGAUAACUAUGUUGGACAAUCAAGCUUUUGUAUUAUCAACAUACAGAUGGUGUGAAGUGUCAAGAGUAUGUGGCAGGUAAGCGUACUUCUGCAAAAUUCUAUUCCACCGCUAUAAAGAUAACAUACAGCCAGGCACUAAUCACUGCUGUUAAUAGUACGUUGGUUAAAAAACUUUAAUUAUCAGACAUUAGGGAGACAAAACACCAACGCCAACAACGAGCGGUAACAAGUCAAUGCCUGUCUGCAUCUGCACUUUGCACUUUCGUACCUGUAUGUCGUGUUCACAUUCCAAAGAUAAUAUGACCGGGAUGUCUUGUUUCUGAUGCACACAGAUGAACUAUGGCUGCCUUUCAGUACCAUUCAAUAUCUUCUUGUUUGAUUUUCUAGUCUCAGACAUCACACUUAAAACACAUUUGCCCCCUCUUAACUACUAGUCAAUAUUCUUUAGCUGUAUGUGGCAUCUGAGCGGCAGUAAUAACAGUUGUAUGCAUGUAUAUUGAAGCACAUGUACAUAUUGGCUCUUGGAGCACUGUGUCAACACAGGAAAUUACUAAGGAUAAUCAAUCAACAUUUUCCUGUUUCUGCUGGUAAUAUGAUUCACCCUUGAAUAAGCAGACACCCACAAGCUAUGUUACAACAAGUCCAUUCUCUGUCUUUAGAUGGACAUCAAAGCAGUGGUUGAAAACGUUUUCUCACUUUUUGCAUUCAGUGUACAUUGUCCCUCCCUUAUUGAGUCUACACUAAUGA